UACGUAGGGGGCAAGCGUUGUCCGGAAUCAUUGGGCGUAAAGAGCGUGUAGGCGGCCCGGUAAGUCGGCUGUGAAAGUCCAGGGCUCAACCCUGGGAUGCCGGUGGAUACUGUCGGGCUCGAGUCCGGAAGAGGAGUGUGGAAUUCCUGGUGUAGCGGUGAAAUGCGCAGAUAUCAGGAGGAACACCAAUGGCGAAGGCAGCACUCUGGGACGUGACUGACGCUGAGACGCGAAAGCGUGGGGAGCAAACAGG
rnacentral:rRNA from 1 species